rnacentral:lncRNA from 1 species
CUGAUGGGAGCGCACACAGACACAUGAACGCGCACACAUUCCUUUUAGCUAUUUAAGUUAAUCUCUGACAAUGCUUACCUCUGAGACAGCACUUAAUUGGUCAGUAUAACAUCUAAGAUGAUACUGGUUCACCUACUGAGUCUGUGCUGUUUUGAUCUGUCCCCCUGGCAUCCAGCUGAUUGUCUCACAGUGCAGGGCCAUCGUGUCUCGCCCUGGUUUGGCCAUGUCGAACAGCCAGCUGGGGCUGGCUGGGCACUGUGACAGUGUCCAUGCUUGUGUCAGCAGUGGCUUAGUACUUCCUCCAGCACCAGACUCUGAUGGCACUGGAAACACAUUUGGAUUCCCAUUUGUCUGAUCACAGAUUCUCUUGGCCCUGUUUGCUGAUCCACAUGCAAAUACAGCUGGCGUCUCUGCUGCAGGAAAAGCUCGUCGUUAUGCCUCAUACAGCUGCCAUAAACAGUCAAGAAGAAAGGUAUCCAAAUUAUUUGUCAAGAGUCCUGUAAUGCUACAACUGAGAACAUCUCUUCUGUUUCUGUCUUGUCCUCAGAGCCCUUUCUAGCAAGGUACUGUACUGUCAGGGAAAUAGCUGCUAUAUCACAUUACUGCUUUUUCAGUCCUUAUUUCUAUUUACUUAUUUCUGUGAGUUGGUGACUCCAGGGAGGGAGAAAGAACACAAUUGCCACAUGUGCUUCUAUGGAAGAUGAAGCCCCCAGGCAACUGUAGGGCUCCUUGCCCUCAGGAAGGCUUUGGAGUUGGGUUCAGUUUCCAGGUACUGACAAAGGAAUUAAUUGUC